rnacentral:lncRNA from 1 species
AUACCAGGCCCUACUCAGAUGACAUGAGAACCCCUACAACCCAACAUCACCCACCUAUUCAUCAGACAGGCAGAACUCACAUAGAAUACCUCUCAUGGCCAUAUGCAAAGAUCUUCAAUGGAAUCGAAUGUAUUUUUACAGUAAGGAAGGAUGCAAUAUGUCAAAACAGUUCUUGGGAAGAAAGUUGCAGAGAAGAGAAGGCAGAUGUGUCGCUAUGGAGACUGGUGGAUGAGCAGAGAUGCGCUGAGAGAUUGCAAGAGUCAUGACAAACCCUGGUGCUGCUGCAAGGCUCCCUUAUUAAACGUCCACUGGUUCAAGUUACAAAGCGACCCUGGGAAUGGGAACACGUGGCUCAGGUCUUUGUUUCGGCUCACUCUUAAGAACUGGCUUAAGAAUUCUGGACUCUAAGCGCUCCAGGAUUUUAGAGAGCACUGUUGUUUCCCCCUGAGUAUUUCAGGAAUGUCAUCCUCUCUUUCUGACAAAAGUGUCAAUAACAUUAUAUUAUUUUUAAAAAUGACCCCAAAUUAGCAAUAAUUCUGGAGAAGCCAACUAAAGACCAAGACAUCUCCAUAUGACUAUUUUCCUCUCAGGGUCGGGGCAGAGAAGCUUCCUCGAGUUCGGAAAGAACAGGGCCUCCGGUUUUUAGAAUGAGUUUAGAAGUGACUUUUCUAGCCAGGCUUUGGCUGUAUAGAAAUAAAUUACUUGAGUUAGGCUGAAAAU